UUUGCAGUUUAUUUAAAUAAAAUGCAAUGGUAUCUCAUACUGUUGAGGGAUUGUCGGCAACAUUGAUAACUGAUCGGCAUUUUUUAGAAGUUUAGUGUCGUCAGCGGUAUCAUAAGUUCGAGUCGAUAUUUUGUCAUAUGCCGUUGGUGGGAGCGCAUACAUUAAUCAAUUUAAAUCUUGACAAUUUGGCGAGGCUUUCUUCGUUUUCUUUAGUAAAUCAAUUUUUUAAUUAAUUUAUUGUAUUCUAUAAUCAUCAGUCAUUUAUAUAAGCCGCGACAAAAUCGUUGUCAACAGAGAUAAGGAGGAGAAAAAUAGAGGUCCUCUUCACGGGAUAGGUACAGACUUGGCUAAGCGAUUAAUGCUAUUGCGGUUCAUCUACAUUGAUAUUGGGCAUUGAUUCUUGAUUUACCCUUAUUAUUACCAUUUGCUAACUUAACCAUCUCUAUAUCUUAUGUUAAUUCUGAUUCUAAAGACCUUUUAUGUGUCAUGUCGACAAUGGUGUUUGAUAAGAAGUCCAAGCAGGCUGCAUAUGAGGUGAAUCAAGGUAACCUAUAUGAUGUAGUGAAGGAUAAACUACCCUGCCCGUGUUGUUUCUGGAUAUGUUAUUUUUCAAUGAAUUACUAUUGAAGCAUUGAUUUAAUACUAUUCUUGGUCAUG
rnacentral:lncRNA from 1 species